GCGUGAGCCACUGCGCCCGGCCUACUCUUACAUUCUUUUACAGAAGAUUAUUCCUGGGGAAAUAAAAUGGCAUUUUGCAUAUAGCUACAGGUGUUACUUAUAAAUUUGCCCUUUAUCUUAGAACUUCAGUGAUUAUAAUAGUGUAAAUACAGUAAGUUUAGAAGAUGACAAAGCUGUGGUAGUAUUUCCUAUACAAAUGAAAUAAUGACUUUUAAAAUAGCAUUGAUUAUUGUAAUCUUUAAGGCAUAUUUGUAUACAAAACAUACCAAACCUGCGCUUGUGUGGCGACAUGAAACUGCUCACCCACAAUCUGCUGAGCUCGCAUGUGCCGGGGGUGGGGUCCUGUGGCUUCCCCCUGCGCCCCCAGGCCACCGAGGUCCGUAUCUGCCCUGUAGAAUUCCACCGCAACUUUGUGGCGCAUAUGAUACCUAAGGUGGAGUGGUCGGCAUUCCUGGAGGUGGCAGAUAACUUGCGCCUGAUCCAGGUGCCUAAAGGGCCGGUUGAGGGAUAUGAGGAGAAUGAAGAGUUUCUGAGGACCAUGCACCACCUGCUGCUGGAAGUGGAAGUGAUAGAGGGCACCCUGCAGUGCCUGGAAUCUGGACGUAUGUUCCGCAUCAGCCGCGGGAUCCCCAACAUGCUGCUGAGUGAAGAGGAAACUGAGAGUUGAUUGUGCCAGGCUCCAGUUUUUCUUGUUAUGACUGUGUGUAUUUUUGUUGAUAUAUACCCUGUUGCCAAAUUCUGCCGUGUGUAUCCCCAACCCUUGACCCAAUGACACCAAACACACAGUGUUCUUGAGCUCUAUAUUAUAUAUUUUUUUCUCAUUAAAGGUUCAAAACCAAAAAAAA